rnacentral:rRNA from 1 species
CACUCCUACGGGAGGCAGCAGUGGGGAAUUUUGGACAAUGGGCGAAAGCCUGAUCCAGCAAUGCCGCGUGAGUGAAGAAGGCCUUCGGGUUGUAAAGCUCUUUUGUCAGGGAAGAAACGGUGAGAGCUAAUAUCUCUUGCUAAUGACGGUACCUGAAGAAUAAGCACCGGCUAACUACGUGCCAGCAGCCGCGGUAAUACGUAGGGUGCAAGCGUUAAUCGGAAUUACUGGGCGUAAAGCGUGCGCAGGCGGUUUUGUAAGUCUGAUGUGAAAUCCCCGGGCUCAACCUGGGAAUUGCAUUGGAGACUGCAAGGCUAGAAUCUGGCAGAGGGGGGUAGAAUUCCACGUGUAGCAGUGAAAUGCGUAGAUAUGUGGAGGAACACCGAUGGCGAAGGCAGCCCCCUGGGUCAAGAUUGACGCUCAUGCACGAAAGCGUGGGGAGCAAACAGGAUUAGAAACCCCGGUAGUCCCAUGAU